GCACUGCUGAGGAGUCCCACAAUAGGACGAAACGGCCUUCUACUGC
rnacentral:hammerhead_ribozyme from 1 species